UAGGGAAUCUUCCGCAAUGGACGCAAGUCUGACGGAGCAACGCCGCGUGAGUGAAGAAGGAUUUCGGUUCGUAAAACUCUGUUGUUAGAGAGGAACAGCGCAUAGAGUAACUGUUAUGCGUGUGACGGUAUCUAACCAGAAAGCCACGGCUAACUACGUGCCAGCAGCCGCGGUAAUACGUAGGUGGCAAGCGUUGUCCGGAUUUAUUGGGCGUAAAGCGAGCGCAGGCGGUCAAUUAAGUCUGAUGUGAAAGCCCCCGGCUCAACCGGGGAGGGUCAUUGGAAACUGGUUGACUUGAGUGCAGAAGAGGAGAGUGGAAUUCCAUGUGUAGCUGUGAAAUGCGUAGAUAUAUGGAGGAACACCAGUGGCGAAGGCGACUCUCUGGUCUGUAACUGACGCUGAGGCUCGAAAGCGUGGGUAGCAAACAGG
rnacentral:rRNA from 1 species